AAUCUUCAUCACCUGCUAUUCUGCUGAGUUUAUAAAUACUACCUGCUCUGUGGAAGUCAUCUAUAACUCUGGGAUCUGUGGAUACCAGCUAGUCUGAAGACACCAGAGGAGGAACUGACUCAGCACAAGAAUGCAGUCUUCAUCUUUAUAAUUUCAUCCUACAUGUUCUGAUCAAUCAGUGACCCAUAUGCCUCAAACUCCUACCCAUCAUGAACCGUUAAAAACCCAGGCCUAAACUCAAAUAGGUGAAUUUGAGAUUUCCUCCCAUCUUCUCAGUUGCCUUUUGAUUAUUAAACAUUUUCUCUGCUGCAACUCCUGUUGUUUCAGUGUAUUGGAAUGUUACUGCACAUUGGGCAAUCAAAUGUGGGAGUCCUCUAACAAGUCGAUACAAGAAAGAUAAAAAUCUAUUCGUAAUAUUGGCAAGAGUUUUGCACAGGCAUGGCAUAGAAGAGAAGGUCUAGUUGGGAUACAAAUAUGUGCAGUGUUAUUCAAAGAAAUGCAAAUAUAA
rnacentral:lncRNA from 1 species